rnacentral:rRNA from 1 species
AUGGCCUCAGAAAGCUUCUUGAGCUGCAUCAUCAUCCCUGAGUUGGUUAUGUACCGUGCAUCCGCCUCCUCGACGAUGGUGGCAGCUCUUAUCAGGAGGUGUUGCAACCUCUCCACUACUAUCUUCUCCUCUAAUUUCGCAUGGAGGGAGGAGUGGUACUUUUUCAUCAGGAAGGAGAUGAACCGGCUCACUAGUUCACCUGUAACUGCAGAUAUGGCAAUCUCCAUGGAUUGA